rnacentral:rRNA from 1 species
ACAGUACCGUAUAGUGUUGUUUUCUCGGGUAGACGACGCUGCGCGUGCUAAUACAUGCAAGUCGAGCGAGCUGAAUCAAAGAUCCUUCGGGGUGAUUUGUUGGACGCUAGCGGCGGAUGGGUGAGUAACACGUGGGCAAUCUGCCCUAAAGACUGGGAUACCACUUGGAAACAGGUGCUAAUACCGGAUAACAACAUGAAUCGCAUGAUUCAAGUUGAAAGGCGGCGUAAGCUGUCACUUUAGGAUGAGCCCGCGGCGCAUUAGCUAGUUGGUGGGGUAAAGGCCUACCAAGGCAAUGAUGCGUAGCCGAGUUGAGAGACUGAUCGGCCACAUUGGGACUGAGACACGGCCCAAACUCCUACGGGAGGCAGCAGUAGGGAAUCUUCCACAAUGGACGCAAGUCUGAUGGAGCAACGCCGCGUGAGUGAAGAAGGUUUUCGGAUCGUAAAGCUCUGUUGUUGGUGAAGAAGGAUAGAGGCAGUAACUGGUCUUUAUUUGACGGUAAUCAACCAGAAAGUCACGGCUAACUACGUGCCAGCAGCCGCGGUAAUACGUAGGUGGCAAGCGUUGUCCGGAUUUAUUGGGCGUAAAGCGAGCGCAGGCGGAAUGAUAAGUCUGAUGUGAAAGCCCACGGCUCAACCGUGGAACUGCAUCGGAAACUGUCAUUCUUGAGUGCAGAAGAGGAGAGUGGAAUUCCAUGUGUAGCGGUGGAAUGCGUAGAUAUAUGGAAGAACACCAGUGGCGAAGGCGGCUCUCUGGUCUGCAACUGACGCUGAGGCUCGAAAGCAUGGGUAGCGAACAGGAUUAGAUACCCUGGUAGUCCAUGCCGUAAACGAUGAGCGCUAGGUGUUGGGGACUUCCGGUCCUCAGUGCCGCAGCAAACGCAUAAGCGCUCCGCCUGUGAGUACGACGCAUGUCUGAUUAC